AUUGUACGUUGGCGGCAGGCCUAACACAUGCAAGUCGAGCGGAUGAAGGGAGCUUGCUCCUGGAUUCAGCGGCGGACGGGUGAGUAAUGCCUAGGAAUCUGCCUGGUAGUGGGGGAUAACGUCCGGAAACGGGCGCUAAUACCGCAUACGUCCUGAGGGAGAAAGUGGGGGAUCUUCGGACCUCACGCUAUCAGAUGAGCCUAGGUCGGAUUAGCUAGUUGGUGGGGUAAAGGCCUACCAAGGCGACGAUCCGUAACUGGUCUGAGAGGAUGAUCAGUCACACUGGAACUGAGACACGGUCCAGACUCCUACGGGAGGCAGCAGUGGGGAAUAUUGGACAAUGGGCGAAAGCCUGAUCCAGCCAUGCCGCGUGUGUGAAGAAGGUCUUCGGAUUGUAAAGCACUUUAAGUUGGGAGGAAGGGCAGUAAGUUAAUACCUUGCUGUUUUGACGUUACCAACAGAAUAAGCACCGGCUAACUUCGUG
rnacentral:rRNA from 1 species